rnacentral:rRNA from 1 species
GAUGAACGCUGGCGGCGUGCCUAAUACAUGCAAGUCGAGCGAACAGACGAGGAGCUUGCUCCUCUGACGUUAGCGGCGGACGGGUGAGUAACACGUGGAUAACCUACCUAUAAGACUGGGAUAACUUCGGGAAACCGGAGCUAAUACCGGAUAAUAUAUUGAACCGCAUGGUUCAAUAGUGAAAGACGGUUUUGCUGUCACUUAUAGAUGGAUCCGCGCCGCAUUAGCUAGUUGGUAAGGUAACGGCUUACCAAGGCAACGAUGCGUAGCCGACCUGAGAGGGGGAUCGGCCACACUGGAACUGAGAAACGGUCCAGACUCCUACGGGAGGCAGCAGUAGGGAAUCUUCCGCAAUGGGCGAAAGCUUGACGGAGCAACGCCGCGUGAGUGAUGAAGGUCUUCGGAUCGUAAAACUCUGUUAUUAGGGAAGAACAAAUGUGUAAGUAACUAUGCACGUCUUGACGGUACCUAAUCAGAAAGCCACGGCUAACUACGUG